GACGAACGCUGGCGGCGUGCCUAAUACAUGCAAGUAGAACGCUGAAGGAGGAGCUUGCUUCUCUGGAUGAGUUGCGAACGGGUGAGUAACGCGUAGGUAACCUGCCUGGUAGUGGGGGAUAACUAUUGGAAACGAUAGCUAAUACCGCAUAAUAGCAGUUGUUGCAUGAUAACUGUUUGAAAGGUGCAAUUGCACCGCUACCAGAUGGACCUGCGUUGUAUUAGCUAGUUGGUGGGGUAACGGCUCACCAAGGCGACGAUACAUAGCCGACCUGAGAGGGUGAUCGGCCACACUGGGACGGAGACACGGCCCAGACUCCUACGGGAGGCAGCAGUAGGGAAUCUUCGGCAAGGGACGGAAGUCUGACCGAGCAACGCCGCGGGAGUGAAGAAGGUUUUCGGAUCGUAAAGCUCUGUUGUAAGAGAAGAACGAGUGUGAGAGUGGAAAGUUCACACUGUGACGGUAUCUUACCAGAAAGGGACGGCUAACUACGUG
rnacentral:rRNA from 1 species